ACGCUGGCGGCGUGCCUAAUACAUGCAAGUCGAGCGAAGUUUUUCUGGUGCUUGCACUAGAAAAACUUAGCGGCGAACGGGUGAGUAACACGUAAAGAACCUGCCUCAUAGACUGGGACAACUAUUGGAAACGAUAGCUAAUACUGGAUAACAGCAUUAACUGCAUGGUUGAUGUUUAAAAGUUGGUUUUGCUAACACUAUGAGAUGGCUUUGCGGUGCAUUAGCUAGUUGGUGGGGUAAAGGCCUACCAAGGCGACGAUGCAUAGCCGACCUGAGAGGGUGAUCGGCCACACUGGGACUGAGACACGGCCCAGACUCCUACGGGAGGCAGCAGUAGGGAAUCUUCCGCAAUGGGCGAAAGCCUGACGGAGCAACGCCGCGUGAGUGAAGAAGGAUUUCGGUUCGUAAAGCUCUGUUGUUAGGGAAGAAUGAUUGUGUAGUAACUAUACACAGUAGAGACGGUACCUAACCAGAAAGCCACGGCUAACUACGUGCCAGCAGCCGCGGUAAUACGUAGGUGGCAAGCGUUGUCCGGAAUUAUUGGGCGUAAAGCGCGCGCAGGUGGUUUAAUAAGUCUGAUGUGAAAGCCCACGGCUCAACCGUGGAGGGUCAUUGGAAACUGUUAAACUUGAGUGCAGGAGAGAAAAGUGGAAUUCCUAGUGUAGCGGUGAAAUGCGUAGAGAUUAGGAGGAACACCAGUGGCGAAGGCGGCUUUUUGGCCUGUAACUGACACUGAGGCGCGAAAGCGUGGGGAGCAAACAGGAUUAGAUACCCUGGUAGUCCACGCCGUAAACGAUGAGUGCUAAGUGUUGGUCUCAUAAGAGAUCAGUGCUGCAGCUAACGCAUUAAGCACUCCGCCUGGGGAGUACGACCGCAAGGUUGAAACUCAAAGGAAUUGACGGGGACCCGC
rnacentral:rRNA from 1 species